UCCUAAUCAAGUCCAAUCAGUUUAAUUAAACACAGCUGGACUCCAAUGAAGGAGUAGAACCAUCUCAAGGAGGAUCAGAAGAAAUGGACAGCAUUGGAGGUGAACCAUCUUGGAAACUGGUGGACCAGAAGGUGACAUUAAGUGCAACCAGUUUGGCCAAGUGAACUGCAGAGCCAGCAAGACCCAUCAAAGGACGAGAUGAAAGGCUGACCCAGAGAGCUCAGCUCAGCUCUCCAAUCCAAACACUGACAUAUGCUGCUGCAGCCACGGUGAAGACCAAGCAGA